rnacentral:lncRNA from 1 species
AGAACUCUCAGGAAACCUCCUCUCUUCCCACCAAAAAUAAUUAUAUAGUUAUCCUUGGGCGAUCUUGGAUCUUAAUUAGUACACUCACGUUCUCUGUGGAAAAUCGAUACUCUGGAAUACUCCCAGGUGAAAGCUACAUCGGUAUCCGUACGCUUGCGGAUUUUUCUGUUUGCGUUUAAAAUACCCAACACGACCAUAAAGCGCAGCUUAGUCGGAGGUUUUCUGCAAGCUCGUCUUGCGGAUGUAAUUAACCGGACGUGCCCAACAGGCCCCGAGAAUCGGCGAACUACGCAAUUUCUCUACAAGUCAGACCUCUCCUUGAGCAUGACGUUGAAGACGGAAGAAGACAUUUUUUUCGUUGAUCAUGUAUUUUGUAUAUUAAAGAAAGAAUUAAUGAAAUAUGUGGUUCUCGAAUAUGUGUGCAUGUGUCUCCCUUGCAUUACAUUAUUUUUCUAUGUCUUCGCCCGGUUUUCGACCAAACAGGUGGAAGGUAAAAUGAGUAAGUUUUAAGUCUUAACAGUUUACUCUAACUCAG